GACGAACGCUGGCGGCGUGCUUAACACAUGCAAGUCGAACGGAAAGGCCCUGCUUUUGUGGGGUGCUCGAGUGGCGAACGCGUGAGUAACACGUGAGUAACCUGCCCUUGACUUUGGGAUAACUUCAGGAAACUGGGGCUAAUACCGGAUAGGAGCUCCUGCUGCAUGGUGGGGGUUGGAAAGUUUCGGCGGUUGGGGAUGGACUCGCGGCUUAUCAGCUUGUUGGUGGGGUAGUGGCUUACCAAGGCUUUGACGGGUAGCCGGCCUGAGAGGGUGACCGGCCACAUUGGGACUGAGAUACGGCCCAGACUCCUACGGGAGGCAGCAGUGGGGAAUAUUGCACAAUGGGCGGAAGCCUGAUGCAGCAACGCCGCGUGCGGGAUGACGGCCUUCGGGUUGUAAACCGCUUUCGCCUGUGACGAAGCGUGAGUGACGGUAAUGGGUAAAGAAGCACCGGCUAACUACGUG
rnacentral:rRNA from 1 species